rnacentral:lncRNA from 1 species
AUGCUAAUCAUUUUCGUAAAGGAUCUUACCUUGAAUACCUUCUUCUGUCCACCUUCUCUGAAAUACAUAUAUAUCAUUAUCCAACGUUUAAUCUCCAUCCUUGCUGUGUAACUAUGCAGGGCAUCUUCCCUUCUGUUUCAGUCAACAAAAUCGCCGAUCAACACCGCUACCAUAAUUUCUUGUAAAAACCCAAUUCAAAUUUGGUGAUAUAACCUUACCUCUGUUUUUAGUUCCCUGGCCUCUUCCCAAAUCCAACUGCAGCUUUCUGUCGUCACCAAAACCAACACCCAAAUUCAGAAACACAAGUCAGCCUCACUUCUUCAAUAAUGAAACCUUAAACACCAAAUAGAUUCACAGCCAUAUACCUUAAAGCUUUAUGAGGUCUCGUAUCUUGCGUCAAAGCCCAUGAACAAGCUAGCCACCUACGACAUCGUCCUCACCAGCAACCAAUUUGUCAAAAACAUUCAGAACCCAAGCUGUCACACCCCGGUUCUUAAGUUAUUUUACGGUUAUUUACUUUGGUAUUAUUUUGGUCUUUUACCGUGUUAAGUAACCGUUUAUCACUUAAGGACCCUAGAGUUGACUUUUUCUUGUGUUUGGAAUUUGGGAAAACUUUCUUCAUAAAAGUGAUAGAGGACGUUAUUACGAGUUCGUAGACAUGCUAUGUGUUAAAAUCGGAAUUAGCAUGAAAAAGUUAUGAUUUAAAAGAGUAAUUUUUGGAGAUGGUAAAAAUGUGGUAAAAAAAUGUAGUGGGUGUAAUUUUUUUCAGUUGGGUUAUUGCUAGCCAGCUGAGGAGCAGCCCAAGACCCCCCCCCC